rnacentral:miRNA from 1 species
ACUAUACAGUUUCGUACCACGUAAAUAAUCGUUAUUUACGUGGUACGAAACUGUAUAGU